GGAGCGAACAGAUAAGGAGCUUGCUCCUUUGACGUUAGCGGCGGACGGGUGAGUAACACGUGGAUAACCUACCUAUAAGACUGGGAUAACUUCGGGAAACCGGAGCUAAUACCGGAUAAGAUUUUGAACCGCAUGGUUCAAUAGUGAAAGACGGCCUUGCUGUCACUUAUAGAUGGAUCCGCUCCGUAUUAGCUAGUUGGUAAGGUAACGGCUUACCAAGGCAACGAUACGUAGCCGACCUGAGAGGGUGAUCGGCCACACUGGAACUGAGACACGGUCCAGACUCCUACGGGAGGCAGCAGUAGGGAAUCUUCCGCAAUGGGCGAAAGCUGACGGAGCAACGCCGCGUGAGUGAUGAAGGUCUUCGGAUCGUAAAACUCUGUUAUCAGGGAAGAACAAACGUGUAAGUAACUGUGCACGUCUUGACGGUACCUGAUCAGAAAGCCACGGCUAACUACGUGCCAGCAGCCGCGGUAAUACGUAGGUGGCAAGCGUUAUCCGGAAUUAUUGGGCGUAAAGCGCGCGUAGGSGGUUUUUUAAGUCUGAUGUGAAAGCCCACGGCUCAACCGUGGAGGGUCAUUGGAAACUGGAAAACUUGAGUGCAGAAGAGGAAAGUGGAAUUCCAUGUGUAGCGGUGAAAUGCGCAGAGAUAUGGAGGAACACCAGUGGCGAAGGCGACUUU
rnacentral:rRNA from 1 species